ensembl:lncRNA
GCCAAUAAAUGGUAGUUCCUACAAAAAGGAAAGAAACAGAGGAGGAGACAAAAGAGUAACACGGAAGUGGCUUAAGGGGCACACGACUCCAGAGCAUUCAGGGGACAAGCUGAUCUUCCUGGAGACUCGGGAACCAAGGAUGUAGAGGAUGAGCAAAGAAGGCCUAGGAGCCGCUGCUUCUGUAAACGUGAGCCUUGAAGGAGGAGUGUUACGUGGUUUUCAGUGACGAUGGAGCCGCCCAAUGUGUGUCCAAGUGUGAGAACUCAGGCAGAGCUGCCUGGAAAGAGUUGUCUUGGUCACGGGGAUGCUUCGCAGCCAUAGAACAAUGAUGAAGACACUCUCAGAUCACACAUGAACUUUUGUAACUAAGUAAACUAUGUACGGAACCCAGAGUCUUCUGGAACAUGAAGGCCUGAAUAUCAGGCAGGCAUCAUUGGCUGUUAUGUCCUCAUCUCUCGAUUGAAACAUCGAUAGCCAAGAGCAACUAUGUGUCUCAAGAUCGAACAGAGAAGUAGAAAAACACCACCUGGAGGAGACAGUCCUUACUUUCUAACACAGUCGUGUGGAAGGUAGCCUAACUAUGCUCUCAAAGGCACAGCCCUGCCUAGGGAUUUCUUCCAUGCCUCACCGCAAUGUGCUCAUCUUUAUCUGGAUAAAACAGACAGAAUGGAGCCCCACUUUCACUCCCAGAUUAGAACUGAUUCGUAAGUAUAUGACUUUAGGGCAGUGCGACGCAUGGGGUCCCACUACUCCCUAUGAUCUGUACACAGUUAAUGAUUGGCGGGGGCAGGGGAGACAUUUUGUUAUAUAGCCGCUGAUGAGGUGCCCGUGCAAAUAAGACGCCCUCUUAAACUCUUCUCAUUUUUGCCCAUGCUAAUAUAAAAUGGGGCUUUGUGGGGGCUAGGCUUUCUUCUCAUCCUUCAAGCCUGUCAACAGUAGGGGAUAGCAAAAGCCGGAAGAGAGUUUGGCCUCAGGAACCCAGGAGGAGUGGACUCUAUGGCUUCGUUUUGGAUAUCAGGUGAUUCAAAGACACAAAGCAAAUCUCUAACCUUUUCUACCCCCAGCUCAUUCCUCUGCAGCUCACCUUCCAAAUGACUUCUGCUAGCUAAGCCUCGCGUCCCUUUGAAUCACAUGACGUCAGGUGAAAUCAGUUGUCCUGUGCCGAGAAGGAGAAGGAACUCAGUUUGGGGACAACUGGCUCAAAAUACAGAGAACCCUUUUUUGUUAAGUUCCCAAAAGGAACUUCCCUUGUUACUUAGAGAACACAGAAAUCUUCUCUCUAACCUCGCUGUCCUAAUACGUCUGUCUGAAACCUGAAGAAGCUCUGCCUUGCAUUGGUACUUUGCGUUUUUCUGUUUUGUUUUGUUUUUUCUGGUAAACCACUGCAAUUGCUUGGCUGUGCACGCCUUCGUGGGGCUUGGCUACUACUAUACCAUUCUGCACUUGCAAAUAUGUCCUUUUCUAGAUGUGGUGAGGAAAAAAAAAAAAAAGCCUCUACAUGCUGAACUAAUGCCAUCUGCCUCCAAAAAUGCCCUAAUUGUAUCAGCCAAACGAGCAUUUCUUAUUUUUAACGCUGCCAUCACUGGAUUGUUAGAGCAGCAUUGUUAAAAGGAUAAUGACAGUGUGAGCCUCAAAUAGGUUUUCUUAAAAUGAUUGCUUUGCCCUGUGGGCACUGGCAAGGCAGUCGGGAAAUUCUAUCAGGGUCAGCAGGUCCUUGGAUGCUGCUCACCACAAGACUGGCUGUCUGAUCUUCAGGUUUUGGGGUUUUUUUUUUGUUAUCUGCACACACACAAUAUCUAGUUUUAGGUAUCGGAGCUCGCUUCUGUGCCUGUCUCAGGAUCCUUUUUACGUUAAUGGCCAGUGUUUAGCUUUCCUGUUAGGUCAACAGCUGUGGCUUCAUUUUUUAUUUUUCUCGUAUUGGUGGAAAUUUUCUUAUUCUGGGAUUCAAACACUCAUUGAUUUUGAGGAAGUUACCAUCCCAGAAAUUGACAGCCUGACUGUGAAACCACAGAUCUGCAUACUGCAUCUACUGCAUGCCUCUUUCCUUAGGGGAAGCUAUGAGGCUUGGCCAAGGCCUACAAGCUGGUAGAGUGGAAGCCAACUGCCCUGGAUGCACAGCAUGGCGGCCGCUCCACUGCUCUGUGUCUGGGAGUGGAGAGAUCACCCUGGGUUCUUCACUGGCCUCAGGUUGUAGAUAGGAAUCAAUGUGGAACUGAAACCUGACUCUGAAAAAGGGAGGCGUUUGAAUUCAAGAGAACCUAUCCAGAAGUCAAGGUACUGAUUUGAUCCAGAACUACGGAGAAGAAGGCUCAAAGAGAUCUCUGAGGAGUAGAAACUGCCCAGUGAGAGACUUUAAACUUCAAACAAAACACACGAAGCUGGAGAGGUGGCUCGGUGGUUAAGAGCACCAGCUGCUCUUCCAGGGAACCUAGGUUCAAUUCCCAGCACCCCAUGCAGCUCACAACUACCUGUAACUGUCUAGUUCUGGGGUAUUUUACACCACCUCACACAAAAUAAGAAUAAAUGCAUUAUAAAGAAA